rnacentral:tRNA from 1 species
ACUCUUGUAGCUCAGUUGGUUAGAGCACCCGUUUAGUAAGCGGGAGGUCUUGAGUUCAACUAUUAACAAGAGCA